UUUUUUUUUUUUUUAAUUCCUCGACGGGACUGGUAAAUGGCCUUGAAGACCUUUGUUUAUAAUUUUUCUUUUUCUUUUUUUUUUUUUCCUCCUGAGGAACUGCCCUCCCUCCAGCAGUGAGAUGCUAAUUAAAGAGAGGCUGCUGACCUGAAGUGGGUUUAGAAGUCACUGAAGUCACCAAGAAUGAGGUGGCAACAAGAGCUGGACAGGAAGGGCCCAUUCCCAAAAUAGAACACAGUUCUUAAAACUCUCUCAUCACAGAUCUGCUGGCUUCUAGUAGCUAGAAAAAUGUGUCCUUUGGCAUAAAACAUGUAGGCUUCCAAUCAAAGGAGCCAGGGGUUCAUACUCUGUGAGAAUUUGCCACAACUGACACUAAGUUGUAGCUACGAAAUUAUAAUCUGUUUUAAAGGUAUUGGUAUUAUGUAAACAUUAAAUGUGUGUUUUAAAAUUGAGGAAGGAUAAUUAAUUUGUAUAUGUUUGUACAUGUGUGUGUGUGUCGAGGGAGCUCUUUCUAGUUAUUCCUGUUCAAGAAUAUGGAGCAGCUCACAGUACAAAUGGAAGGCUUUUUACUAUCUCUACAAUCUUUCAUUGGAAUAAAAUUAAUGUCACUGAUGUAGGGGAAAGGACUACAAUGUCUUUACUAAUAACUGUUUAGAAAGGAAAAAAAACAGAUAAGCAGGCAGGACUGACUGAUUACAGUUCUCUCCUUUUAAAAUGGUUUGAGAUUGGCAAGUCCUGAGCUAUAAGGCUGAAGAAGUGCUCGUUAGUAGACCGUGUGCCUGUUGAACACGAAGCCUGAGCCUGAGCCCAGAACUGCAACAUUUAAUUCAUUGAAAUGAAUUAAUCUGCAAGAAUCUGAUCCUCCCAAAACUCUGUUAGUAUUUGUUAAGCAGGCCACUUUGUGAGAGAGACUCAUUCCUGUUUAUCUUAAGUAGUGGGGUGAGGCUGUACUGACGUCAUAUAAGGGGAUCACCCCGAGUUAGGAAACAGAGCUUAGGCAUGCUGCCUCCCUGCACCUCAGGACUGACCAGUGAGCACGGAGCCUGUGGAUACCCGCCAAGCCGGGUAACCUCCUUUGGUUCGGGCAUAGUUUUAAAGGCAAGAGUUCUAAAAUGUCCCCUUGAGCGCCGACCAUUCCUAUCUUCCAGCUGCUCUUGGCUUUGUGAGUUUCAGAGGCUGGCUCCCUUGCUUCCUGGUAUCCACAGCUUGUCUUUCUUCCGGAGUCUAUGUUGAAAUCCUGUGAGUCACCAUGUGUCACUGCUUCUUCUAGCAUCAGCUUACUCCUGCCUCCUCGACCGACCGCAGAAGGCUCCUCCUUCCUGCUCGGUGUCCGGUGCCUCGACCAUACUCACUCACCGACAUUGGUUGAAUGAAUUGACGAACAACCAGUUAAGGGAUGUAAAAAUAUUUUUAGAGUCUCUUUUAUUUAAAAAAAAUGCUAAUAAAGUAUAAAACAACAACAAAAGCAACGGGACAGGAAAUAGAUGUUUUGAAAUUUUUUAAGAGAGCUACUCAUCCCUUUAGGUGAAAGAGAAUUCCCUAUGGGAGCUGAGGCGAAGGCUUAUUGGGGAAAGUGAUUGCCUUGCAGGCUUGAGAUACUAGGCUCUCCCAUUCAAAAUAGUACUGCUCUGAAGCCCUUCCACUGCACGCUGACCCAGUUAAGCAGCUGGACCUCCAGGCAUGUAUGAUCUUAACUUUACACGCCAAGUAGAGCAGUCAUCUUCUCGAUUUGUAGUCCAGUCAAGAGGCAAAAUUAAAGUUUCUAAUACGAUUUGAAGAGUACUUUUACUAAGAGAUUAAUAAUUUCUAAAGAAAACAGAAAUUUCAAAUUACUUUAAGGUAAACAUCCUGUGUAUAUUUAUCGUUGCCGGGAAUUGAACUUAGGUCCUUACACGUACAAGGCAAAUGCUCCACUACUGAGCUAUAUUUCCAGUUGCAAACAUCAUCUUCAUAUUUGCCUUUAAAAUCCCUUUUUUCCCGGUUACUGCCCACCUUUGCCCUUUUAGUUGCUCAGGAAGUUAAAAAUAAAUAAAUAAACACCAGGAAAGAGUCCUUCAUUAUUCAUUCCUUUGCAUUCUUUUUACUUUUUAAAAUGUGCACAGCGGCUCUGAAAUUCAUUACGCAAAAUCAGUUUUAGUUUUUGCUGCAUGUCUAGUCACUUGUGGGUGAGUAGACAGGUGAUAUAAUUACAUCCAAGCGUGUGAUUUUUUUUUUCUUUUUACUUAAAAGUUUUCAACCAGAAGUUGUGUUGACAUUCAGUUUGAAAUUCAGUUACUUGGCUCUUAGCUCAUGGAGAUCCAACAGUUGCCCAUUAAUGGCGCUUUCAUUGCCCUGCACUUUGGAAGCCCUAAGCAUUCCCAAAUGCACUUAGGAGCAUUUCCACUCAUUAGAGAACCAGUGUUUCUCAGAGCUGUGGCUGAAGGCUUCCUGUGUGAAAACCAAACAAAAUGGGCAAUAAGAGUGCCAUGUGAGUAGAGGAAAAUUUUGUUCUUAAUAUUAUAAAAUUACAAUUUUUUUCCUUCGCCUCUUACAUCAAUGUAAGAGAUCACUUCUGAUUCCAGAGUUACAGUAGUAUAAAAUAUAAGUGGAUAUAUCAAGGGGAGGCAGAUGAUAGAUGAUAGAGGUAGAUAGAGAGAUGAUAGAUAGAUAGAUAGAUAGAUAGAUAGAUAGAUAGAUAGAUAGAUGAUAGAGAGAUAGAUAGAUAGGAUAGUAGAUUAGAUGGAAAGAUAGAUAAUAGAUAGUAGGUAGUAGAUGAUAGAUAAGGUGGUAGAUUAGAUGGAUAAUAGAUGAUAGAUAAGAUGAUAGAUUAAAUAGAUGAUAGAUUAGAUAGAGGUAGACAAAUAGAUGGGCAGAUAGGUGAUAGAAAUGGAUACAUAUAUAUAGAUAGAUGAUAUAUAGAGAUAGAUGGAUGGUAGAUAGAUAGAUGAUAGAGAGAGAUAUAGAUAGAUGAUAUAUAGAUGAUAGAGAGAUAGAGCUAGCUAGCUAGAUGGAUGGUAGAUAGAUAGAUCCAUAGAUACAUAGGUAGAUACACAGAUACAUAGAUAGAUUAUGAUGUGGAGACACAAAAACUCAAGAGAGUUUGACCAUGACCAGUGAAUUUGGCUUCCAAUCAAAAAGCUAACCUUAGAACCAUAUAGAUAGACUUCUUUGAACCAGUGGAGAUCAUUAUGAUUUCUGUGGACAAGAUCAUAUCUUUUAAAAAUAUGGAAUAGGGACGAGAGGGGACAAAAGAGGACAACCAAAAGAUGACAACUUGGAAUUCCAGGAAGCAGGUGGAUGACAUGGAUACAGAGCUCAGUAAUGUUGUAUGGGCAGAAAGAAGGCGCUAGGGAGAGGGUGGGACAGUGGUCUGUAACCAGAGUGUGAGCUGUCUGUGUACAAGCUUCUCUUGCUGCGUGGUCAUUCAGGAAGUCUGGCUGGGAAAGAAAAACAGCUUAAGUAACAAGGAAGGCCUCCAUUCCUGUUCUUAGGGUAGAGAAAGCUUGAGCAAGUAAAGAUCCC
rnacentral:lncRNA from 1 species